CAGCCGCCACGGUAAUACGAAGGGGGCUAGCGUUGUUCGGAUUUACUGGGCGUAAAGCGCACGUAGGCGGACGCUUAAGUCAGGGGUGAAAUCCCGAGGCUCAACCUCGGAACUGCCCUUGAUACUGGGUGUCUUGAGUCCGGGAGAGGUGAGUGGAACUGCGAGUGUAGAGGUGAAAUUCGUAGAUAUUCGCAAGAACACCAGUGGCGAAGGCGGCUCACUGGCCCGGAACUGACGCUGAGGUGCGAAAGCGUGGGGAGCAAACAGGAUUAGAUACCCCCGUAGUCCCUGUCUCUUAUAC
rnacentral:rRNA from 1 species